rnacentral:rRNA from 1 species
GACGAACGCUGGCGGCGUGCUUAACACAUGCAAGUCGAACGGAAAGGCCCUGCUUUUGUGGGGUGCUCGAGUGGCGAACGGGUGAGUAACACGUGAGUAACCUGCCCUUGACUUUGGGAUAACUUCAGGAAACUGGGGCUAAUACCGGAUAGGAGCUCCUGCUGCUUGGUGGGGGUUGGAAAGUUUCGGCGGUUGGGGAUGGACUGGCGGCUUAUCAGCUGGUUGGUGGGGUGGUGGCUUGCCAAGGCUUUGACGGGUAGCCGGCCUGAGAGGGUGACCGGCAACAUGGGGACUGAGAUACGGCCCAGACUCCUACGGGAGGCAGCAGUGGGGAAUAUUGCACAAUGGGCGGAAGCCUGAUGCAGCAACGCCGCGUGCGGGAUGACGGCCUUCGGGGUGUAAACCGCUUUCGCCUGUGACGAAGCGUGAGUGACGGUAAUGGGUAAAGAAGCACCGGCUAACUACGUG